rnacentral:rRNA from 1 species
UACGUAGGGUGCGAGCGUUGUCCGGAAUUACUGGGCGUAAAGCGUGCGCAGGCGGUUUGCUAAGACAGGUGUGAAAUCCCCGGGCUUAACCUGGGAACUGCGCUUGUGACUGGCAGGCUAGAGUACGGUAGAGGGGGGUGGAAUUCCUGGUGUAGCAGUGAAAUGCGUAGAUAUCAGGAGGAACACCGAUGGCGAAGGCAGCCCCCUGGGCCUGUACUGACGCUCAUGCACGAAAGCGUGGGGAGCAAACAGGAUUAGAUACCCCU